GACGAACGCUGGCGGCGUGCUUAACACAUGCCAGUCGAACGGUAAGGCCCUGCUUUUGUGGGGUGGUCGAGUGGCGAACGGGUGAGUAACACGUGAGUAACCUGCCCCUGACUUUGGGAUAACUUCAGGAAACGGGGGCUAAUACCGGAUAGGAGCUGCUGCUGCCUGGUGGGGGUGGGAAAGUUUCGGUGGUUGGGGUUGGACGCGCGGCUUAUCAGCUGGUUGGUGGGGUGGUGGCUUACCAAGGCCUGGACGGGUAGCCGGCCUGGGAGGGUGACCGGCCACAUUGGGACUGGGAUACGGCCCAGGCUCCUACGGGAGGCAGCAGUGCGGAGUGUUGAACAAUGGGCGGACGCCUGAUGCAGCAGCGCCGCGUGCGGGAUGAUGGCCUUCGGGUUGUAAACUGCUUUCGCCUGUGACGAAGCGUGAGUGACGGUAAUGGGUAAAGAAGCACCGGCUAACUACGUG
rnacentral:rRNA from 1 species